UCUUAUAAUGUUGCAUGUACCCUCUCUCAGGGCGCCAACCGUACAACAGAGGAGGCAGAACGUGAGAGGAGAGAGCGAGAUGAGCGGAUGAGGCACAGCAGGAAUCCUGCAGCUCGUGGUAUCCCAGCAGCCUCAGGCAGACCUCGCCCCACACAGGAGGGAGCUCCUCCCACCCCCCUCACACCCACCUCUCACACAGCGAACACAUCCUCACCGAGACCGGUCACUGGCAUGGAGCGCGAACGUAAGGUCAGCAUGCGGCUUCAUCGUGGCGCCCCAGUGAACGUGUCGUCCUCGGACCUGACGGGGCGUCAAGACACUUCCCGCAUGUCCACAUCACAGAAUAGCAUUCCCUUCGAACACCACGGCAAGUAGUUGAUCGUCACAUCCUUGUGUGAAGGCAAAUGCACCAGAUUGUCUCCAUGUCCCAGAAGCCUCCACUUUGCAAUAUGGAGCAGGAUGGGCAACCUAACUACACAUGGCUGAUUGACAGCUCUCCACCAUCAGCUAAUAGAUCGGCCGUCAGUGUCUCUCUUCUAUUGACCAAACCAAAAUGGUGUAGAACCAACCCGACCUCUUUGCUUACAGGCUUCCUCUCCUCUUCUUCUCUCUCAUGUUCUCAUAUUUUCUCUCCUACACUUUUUAAAUGUUCUCGUGGACAUGAGAGCUACAGCCUGGUGCGAAUUCACACCAUUUGGUUGACCAAUCAGAGACCGGAUCAGCCAGCCACACCAUUGUCAGCUCCUGCGUCCUUCCUUCACAGUUCCACUCACACACAUUCAGUGCUGCACAACUUUCUCUGGUUCAGGCUCCUCGUGAUUGAGGCUAAUGUAUCGUCUGUGUGGUUUAAAUGGGUCUUUUUGUUUCUGUGUACUGAAAUUUCUUUUGUAUUUUAACCUGGGCAACAGACGAGUCCGUCUGGUGGCCUUAUGGGUUCACUUUAAAAUUUUCUAUUUACUCCAUGUAUU